rnacentral:lncRNA from 1 species
GACACAGAAAGCCUAGAGGAUAGUUUUACCGUGCAGCUGACAGAUGGCAAGCACACAGUCCAAGGGACAUUUUACAUCUACAUCAUGCCAUUCAACGAUGAAAUCCUUCAUCUUUCCAGAAAUAUGGAUUUGGAAGUCAAAGUAGCUGAGAGAAGUCACUUCCAUUGCAGACAAGGAUUCUCCAAGGUAUAAACACUGCGUGGUCUCCAAUGUGCCCAGACCUGGAGAUCUGCAAUUGAAGGUAGCAGUGCCUUUAGUAUUUAGACCCUUUUCCUGGAGACAAGUGAAAUCCCCAGUCUGCUCC